UACGAAGGGUGCAAGCGUUAGUCGGAAUUACUUGGCGUAAAGCGUGCGUAGGUGGUUUCUUAAGUCCGUUGUGAAAGCCCUGGGCUCAACCUGGGAACUGCAGUGGAUACUGAGAGGCUAGAGUGUGUCAGAGGAUGGUGGAAUUCCCGGUGUAGCGGUGAAAUGCGUAGAGAUCGGGAGGAACAUCAGUGGCGAAGGCGGCCAUCUGGGACAACACUGACGCUGAGGCACGAAAGCGUGGGGAGCAAACAGG
rnacentral:rRNA from 1 species